rnacentral:rRNA from 1 species
UACGUAGGUGGCAAGCGUUAUCCGGAUUUAUUGGGCGUAAAGAGCGCGUAGGUGGUCUCAUAAGUUGGGCGUGAAAGCCCCCGGCUUAACUGGGGAGGGUCGUUCAAUACUGUGAGACUCGAGGGUGGAUGAGGAGAUCGGAAUUCCCGGUGUAGUGGUGAAAUGCGUAGAUAUCGGGAGGAACACCUGUGGCGAAGGCGGAUCUCUAGGCCACUCCUGACACUGAGGCGCGAAAGCGUGGGGAGCGAAC